rnacentral:rRNA from 1 species
UGGGGAAUUUUGGACAAUGGGCGAAAGCCUGAUCCAGCAAUGCCGCGUGUGUGAAGAAGGCCUUCGGGUUGUAAAGCACUUUUGUCCGGAAAGAAAUCCUUGGCUCUAAUACAGUCGGGGGAUGACGGUACCGGAAGAAUAAGCACCGGCUAACUACGUGCCAGCAGCCGCGGUAAUACGUAGGGUGCAAGCGUUAAUCGGAAUUACUGGGCGUAAAGCGUGCGCAGGCGGUUUGCUAAGACCGAUGUGAAAUCCCCGGGCUCAACCUGGGAACUGCAUUGGUGACUGGCAGGCUAGAGUAUGGCAGAGGGGGGUAGAAUUCCACGUGUAGCAGUGAAAUGCGUAGAGAUGUGGAGGAAUACCGAUGGCGAAGGCAGCCCCCUGGGCCAGUACUGACGCUCAUGCACGAAAGCGUGGGGAGCAAACAGGAUUAGAUACCCUGGUAGUCCACGCCCUAAACGAUGUCAACUAGUUGUUGGGGAUUCAUUUCCUUAGUAACGUAGCUAACGCGUGAAGUUGACCGCCUGGGGAGUACGGUCGCAAGAUUAAACUCAAAUGAAUUGACGGGGUCAUAGCUGUUUCCU